CGUCCCCCGUCCCCCUCCCCCUUAGACCCAGAACCUCAGCGUCCCCACGCUGCCCAGGCACUUGGCCACAGUGAAAGAUGAUCUGACACACUCAUUCACUUCUUUGCCUUUAAAGGAAAUGCCCAGUAGACAGCCUUUCUGCUCGGAAUCGAGCGCAAAUGGUAGGAUUUUAGGCACUCAAGAGACAGAUGUCUUCGGGUCCGGGUGCCUCUGAGAAGUCUCCCCAUCGCAUAUGAUGAGCGCCUACCCUUGAAUGGACACAGCUAGCUCACCCCCACCCCAGAAGUGGGGAGAGGGCCUGGCCCUCUGCUCUGGCUCCAGCUGCUCUGACAGGACAGGUCCCGGUACAUCCUGGCAGUCUUGCUUCUGGGCCUUUGCACAUGCCAUUGUCCCUGCCAGGAAUUCCCUCACUCAUCCCUUCCAUCCCCUACUUCAAGGCCAAGGUCCAAUCCCACCUUCUCCAGGAAGCCUUCCCUGGUUGCUUUCGCUCCUUGUGAUCGUCCUCGCCUUUGAACUACCUGGACACUUUCCAGCUAUACACUCAUGCAACCUAAUAAAUGUUUACCGUGCAUCCACCCUGGGCCAGACCCCUUGCUGGGCUCAAGGCGCACGAGAGUAACUCGGUGGUAGGCUGCAGUGGAAGGAGCUCCCAUCCUAUCCCGUUGUGGGGGGUGAGAGCCACAGGUUGUGAUAAUGCAGGGAUCCAGGACUCAGGUGGGGACAUGCUGAUGUUGUGAGGGCUCGGGGGGAGAGAGAGCCCCUCCGCCCCCAUCUCUCAGGGGGCUGACAUCUGAGCUGGGUAUGGAAGGAUCAGCAGGCAUUCACCUGGCCUGAGGGAAAGGGAAGACGAGCGUUCAGCUGAGGCAAGGGGGGAGGGAGGAAGUGGUGAUGGAAGGUAGCGUAACAGACAGGAUCCACAAGGUAACCUAAGGUACGCUCAAGCUGGGUCAUUUGAGGGUGUUUGCAAAGGUGUGGGCAGGGUGUGGGGAAACCAGCACACUGCCGGUCACUGGGAAAGCCAGUUAAACCUCUAGGCAGCUCAGGGGCUAAGGAGACAAGAUAGCCUGGGUGCAGGGGGCUGCCUGGAUGGAAGACCUGCAGAGAAGCAGUGCCCUGACCCCUGCCAGGCUCCUGCCAACUAGCCUCAGCUGGAAAAACCAUUUCAUGGGAAAGCUGCUGAUGGAGCCCAUGCAGGCCAGCCUUUUUGGGGUCCAGUCCAGGGAACAAGGGUGGAGAGCAAAUCCAGAGAGACAAGGAACGAGUGGAGGGCACUGGGCUCGGCCGCAGAGACCACGGGGCCCCUCUGGAGGCCCCAGUCCCCUAUUGUUCAGCGAAAACCCAGCUCAGGGCUACCCUGGGGUCGGGGACACCUCCCUCCCUGCCCAUCAAGGCUCAGAUCCUUGGUAGGAAAUAGCUGUUUCACUGGGUCCUAUCUCGUUGCAGCAUUGUUAAGAUGUCACUGAGUGUCAUCUGAAAAUAGAAACGCCGCCCAGGCCUACCAUGGAAACGCUUUUGCCUCCCCGACUCCCCACCCGCCUGCGAAUGGAAGCUGCUGUCACCCGAACGCCUGUUCAGCCACCAAGAGAGAGCUGGUGCUUCCUGAGAGUGCCCGUGCACCAAGCACCGGGUCCAGCUCGUUACAGACGUGAUCACAUCAUUUUAUAAUCACCAACUCUUGGGAGCGGCGGGAUGCUGAGGGUCAGGGUGAUGGUAAUUUGCUCAGUGUCACAGGCUAAUAAGUGAGGGGGCUGGUAUCUGCAUCUGACUCCAGGAGCCGGUUUCAUGAGUUCUCCAGGGAGCGCUUGACCAGGAAGCCGACGAACUCACGAGCCCUUACUUUUUCUUCCUCCAUCUCUUCAUCUGAUCAAAUAAUCAAGUAUAGGAAGAGCCAACAUUAUUUGAGCUGCCAUUGUAGGCCCAGCUCUGUGCUGAGCUUUCUUACACGUUCAGGUCUUACCUCCAUUUUAUCAGUCACGAAACCGAGGUUCAGAGAGGUUAAGCAACUUGCCCAAAGCCACACAGCGAUGAAGAAGUUGGAGCAGGACUCCAAGGCCGGAGGUCCCCAUGCUCACCAGCCAGGCCGUAUGCCAGGCUGUGUCAGACAGCCUUGACCGAUGUCUAGGCCCAGGGCUCAAGGUGCUCCUAGGGAGAAUUUGGUCGUCUUUUUCUUGGAAAGCUGUUUCGGAAAACUCAAGCCUGGUCACCCCUUCCUUCAAAAGAGGCCAAGCCAAGUGGCGGUGGGGUGUCCUCAUCUCACUGUGCUCUCAUGAUGGGCCAGCUCACCUGGCCUCUGUGAGGGCCUCUCCUCCCACUUCAGUGGGGAGAGGGGCCCUUGGGGGAUGGAGCUGCUGAGGUGCCCAGCCUUGCCGUCAGUUCCUGGGGAGACUGGACGGAAGAGGCUGGCCUGGUUCCUUCCCUCCCUGGUUGUCCUGGGUUGACCUGUGUCCCCUUGAAAUUCAUACGUUGACAUCCUAUCCCUCAGUACCUCAAAAUGUGACCUUGUUUGGAGAUGGGGUCUUUACAGAGGUAAUCAAGUUAAAGUGAAAUCAUUAGGGUGGGUCUCCAUUAGGGUAGGGAAAUUGGGACCGACGGACAUUUUCAGAGGGAGGACACACACGUAUGACACCCCCCCCCCACACACACACACACUCACACACAGAGAACACCAGGAAGAUGCUGGGGAAGAACCCACCAGAAGUUAGGGGAGCGGCAGGAACACAUUCUCCCUCGUGGACCUUGGAAGGCAUGGAUCCCCUCUCCCCCCCCGGCCCCCCCCAACACACCUGGAUCUCAGACUCCCGGCUGAAGAGCUGUGAGACACUACAUUUCUGCUGCUGGAAUGACUCCGUUUGUCACGCACAUCUAGCAAACCAAGGCAUCAGCCUUCUCUGCGAGGGGAGGCCUUUGCUUGCCAGCAGUCUGCGGCCCCCGGCCCCUGGCAAAUAAACCACCGAAUAAGUGACA
rnacentral:lncRNA from 1 species